GACGCCCUUCCGGUCUGUAAAGGUUCACCCACCAAGUCUCAGGGGAUCUUUCAGGGGAAAGAUGAGAAAUCCUUGAAAGUACAGUCAGGUCAGGUUCAAAGACUCAGAUAAUCCAGCCAGGCUGAGCCAGCCCACUGGGCAGACUGGCUUCAAAAAAGGCCCCACCCACUGGACACCCUGGACUGCUCCCCAAGAAUCUCUUCAGUCCCCAAGGUCCCUAAGACACUGAGAUGGAGCUGGGAAAGCAAACCUAUUUGCUUCCUCUUGCAGAAAACCCCUUGAGGCUGAGGACGCCUCCUUACCCACCCAGGAGGAUGGGAUGACAGGCUGCUGUUUGCCUUCAUUCAAGGUGGUAUAAUGUCUCACUCCAGGGCAUGAGCUCAGGUCUGACUCCCAGCUCAGUGCUCCUUUAUAACCACCCAUCUCUCCUCCACUCUUUGUUCAGGUUAAUAAACAACAUACAUAAACAGUAUGCAUAUUAUUAUGUAUCCCUGGCAAGUCACAUCCCCUUCGGGCCCUCAGUGUCCCCAUCUGCAGACAAGAGGGCUGGAUCAGAUGGAAAUGCCAAGAUCCUUUGUCACCUUCUUGCUUUAGGAAUCCAGGACUCUGAUAAAUCAACCCUAAAGCCAAGGUACCUCAAGCCAUGCUCUGAUCAUUAUUUGUGGCUGGUGAUGAAACCGAGGUUACAGUUCAAUGAGGUAUCUUUCAUGAGCCUCAAGUGAGGAAAACCUCACCACAUGGCUGUGCACUGCCCAGAGGUGACCAGCCCCUGGGCACAGACAGACAUCCAGCCCCCACUCUACAGUCUGGGAGCAAGGAAAAGUCCCACUUUAAACAGUCAGCCCUGGGGGCCCCCCUUUACUACUGGUAACCGCAAAACUAGAACCCAAUCUUGGACACAUAACCCAGAAACUCAGCCAUGGGGGCCACGUCCUGUCUCCUGUUCACCCUUCUCGACCUCAGGGUGGA